AUGGUAGGGGUGGAUAGGAGUGAUUGUUUUCAGCAUCUUAUUGAUAGAAUUUGCCAGAGAAUUAAAGGUUGGAAGGAAAAAGUGCUCUCAAUGAAGGGAAAAGAGAUAUUGUUGAAGGCAGUAGCUCAAGCAAUUCCCUCUUAUGCUAUGUCGGUUUUUAAACUUCCAAAGAACAUAUGCAAGGCAAUUAUAGAUGAGAUUGCAGGUUUUUGGUGGGGGGACAGUGAGGACAAGAAGAAGAUGCAUUGGUUUGCAUGGUGGAAGUUAUGCAUUUCGAAGAGUAAGGGUAGCUUGGGGUUUAGAGACCUUCACAGUUUUAAUCUUGCUUUAUUAGCAAAACAGUGUUGGUGUUUACUCCAGAAUCCCGAAUCUUUGUGUGCAUGAGUUCUAGGUGCAAAGUACUACCCUGAUGGCAAUAUACUCAUGGCUGGCCCGAAGAAGGGUUCUUCGUUUACUUGGCAAAGCAUUAUAUCCGGUAUACAAACAUUUAAGAGAGGAUGUAUUUGGCGUGUGGGUACGGGAUCGCAGAUCAACAUCUGGAAUGAUCCUUGGAUUCCCUCCAGUGAAACAAGGAAAAUUAUAACUCCAAGGGGAGUAACUAUGUUGAGCAAGGUUGAAGAAUUAAUUGAUCCAUAUACUGGGUAG
rnacentral:rRNA from 1 species